rnacentral:rRNA from 1 species
AGAAUCUUCCGCAAUGGGCGCAAGCCUGACGGAGCGAUGCCGCGUGAGGGAAGACGGCCUUCGGGUUGUAAACCUCUGUCGACGGGAACGAAGUUUGACGGUACCCGUCAAGAAAGCCACGGCUAACCACGUGCCCGCAGCUGCGGUAAUACGUGGGUGGCGAGCGUUAUUCGGAUUCACUGGGCGUAAAGGGUCCGCAGGGGGCGUGCCGCGCCCGCCGUGAAAUCCAGGGGCUCAACCCCUGGGCCGCGUCGGGUACGGGCGCGCUGGAGUGCGGGAUGGGCAGACGGAAUUCCGGGUGUAGCGGUGGAAUGCGUGGAUAUCCGGAAGAACACCGACGGCGAAGGCGGUCUGCUUGCCCGCGACUGACCCUCAGGGACGAGAGUGUGGGUAGCGAACA